UACGUAGGGGGCGAGCGUUGUCCGGAUUUAUUGGGCGUAAAGAGCUCGUAGGCGGUUUGGUAAGUCGGGUGUGAAAUCUCCACGCUCAACGUGGAGGGGCCACUCGAUACUGCCAUGACUCGAGUCCGGUAGAGGAGUGUGGAAUUCCCGGUGUAGCGGUGAAAUGCGCAGAUAUCGGGAGGAACACCGGUGGCGAAGGCGGGUCUCUGGGCAGUAACUGACGCUGAGGCACGAAAGCGUGGGGAGCAAACAGG
rnacentral:rRNA from 1 species